rnacentral:rRNA from 1 species
AUGACCGGCUUUCUCGGGAAGUUGGUUGAGGGUUCCCAAGAGCCCGGUGACACACAAGAUGAUCUAGAUGGAGACGCUGGCCUCGGCAAGGAUGACGACGACGACAUGGAGAAUGUGCAACAGGACACCGAUGAUGAUGAACAUGCUGAAGUUCGUGCAGGUGGUAACAAGGGCAAGGAUGCAACAGAUUUCCCCCCAACAGAGAAAGUCAAAGAACAUACGGCUGCGAGAGGCGAGGGGGUGUUGCCAUCAAGGAGGGGUGAAACUUCACAGGAUGUUGGGCAGGGUUCUCCUGGCAAGAGUCCUAGGACCGAUCCCGUAGCUGCCAGGAUGAGCGAGCCGACCGCUGGUGGACGAGCAGUUACAAAGAAACAGGCGCCAACGCCAACCCGUGUUUCUGCUCGGUUGAACAAAGGUGCCCCCAUUGCCGGUGACACCCCUUCCACCAGGUCUUCUCCUCGUACGACGACGACCAACACCGGGGAUCCUGUCGUGUUGCCAGACCUGAGGAAGCCAGUCAAGAAGAUGAAGAAGACUACUACACGUGGGGCCAAGCAUAUCAUCAAGGACCCACUCGAACGCCUGCAUUCAAAGUUGUCAACAGGGGGAAACUCAGAUGUUCAUGAGGCGCCAGGCGACAAUACGGCUGCUGCACCGUCAACUGCUCCCACUACCUCUGAUAGGCAUCCGUACAUCGGGGAGUGA